rnacentral:rRNA from 1 species
UACGUAGGGUGCAAGCGUUGUCCGGAAUCAUUGGGCGUAAAGCGCGCGUAGGUGGCCAUUUAAGUCCGCUGUGAAAGUCAAAGGCUCAACCUUUGAAAGCCGGUGGAUACUGGAUGGCUAGAGUACGGAAGAGGCGAGUGGAAUUCCUGGUGUAGCGGUGGAAUGCGCAGAUAUCAGGAGGAACACCAAUAGCGAAGGCAGCUCGCUGGGAAGUUACUGACACUGGGGCGCGAAAGCGUGGGGAGCGAACAGG